CCCGAAUGUAUAGUAUCCAUCAAAAUUGAUUUUUGAAGUGUCUAGAUAGUUAGGUUGGAAUUAUUACUAUAAUUGUGUUAUAUUUUCUGUACAAUUAUUUGAUUCGUCGAGUCGUUUCAAACGACUUCCCCCCUUUUUUUCUUUUUUUUUUUUUUAGGAUAAGUAAUACAGGGUUUUAACGAUAUCACGACGAAAAACACGUUGAAAAUUUUAGGUUAAUAUGUUCGCAGUAGAUCCAAGCAAAAAGUAGAUCGACGUGUUCAAAGAAUCAAACGGAUUAGUAAGUGAACGUUUGAAGACACGCGGUCCGAGACAAAUGGCGUGAUUUUGUUUCGACAGCUUAUAUACUCUCAGAAACUCA